AGCAUAUCAAUAAGCGGAGGAAAAGAAACCAACAGGGAUUGUCUUAGUAACGGCGAGUGAAGCGACAAAAGCUCAAAUUUGAAAUCUGGCGCCUUCGGUGUCCGAGUUGUAAUUUGAAGAAGGUAACUUUGGUUUUGGCUCUUGUCUAUGUUCCUUGGAACAGGACGUCACAGAGGGUGAGAAUCCCGUGCGAUGAGAUGCCCAAUUCCAUGUAAAGUGCUUUCGAAGAGUCGAGUUGUUUGGGAAUGCAGCUCUAAGUGGGUGGUAAAUUCCAUCUAAAGCUAAAUAUUGGCGAGAGACCGAUAGCGAACAAGUACAGUGAUGGAAAGAUGAAAAGAACUUUGAAAAGAGAGUGAAAAAGUACGUGAAAUUGUUGAAAGGGAAGGGUUUGAGAUCAGACUUGGUAUUUUGUAUGUUUUACUCUCGGGUGAGGCCUCUGCAGUUUACUGGGCCAGCAUCAGUUUGGAUGGUAGGAUAAUGACAUUGGAAUGUGGCUCUUCGGA
rnacentral:rRNA from 2 species